GGUCCAAGGUGAGGAAGUACUCUAGGCCCUGGGCUCUAAGCCUAUCGCCUAUGGUGAACCCUUCCCGGGAGAGAUAGUCGAAGUCGACAUACCUCCCGGAGGUGACGGCCUUCCCGGCCAACGGCCUUGCGGGAACCGCCCUAGGCGGGGAACGAGCCGGAGGUGGUUGCCUCGCGGGAUCGUGCCGCGCCUUGGAGCGC
rnacentral:lncRNA from 1 species